UACGUAGGGUGCAGGCGUUACUCGGAAUUACUGGGCGUAAAGCGUGCGCAGGCGGUUAUGUAAGACAGGUGUGAAAUCCCCGGGCUUAACCUGGGAACUGCAUUUGUGACUGCAUAGCUAGAGUACGGUAGAGGGGGAUGGAAUUCCGCGUGUAGCAGUGAAAUGCGUAGAUAUGCGGAGGAACACCGAUGGCGAAGGCAAUCCCCUGGACCUGUACUGACGCUCAUGCACGAAAGCGUGGGGAGCAAACAGG
rnacentral:rRNA from 1 species